UGUGCUGCCCUCACCAUGCAGCCGGCUGCCCUUCGCCUCCUGAAGGCUCGAUGUUCUUCGCCCAGGAAGGCCAAGCAUUUAAGGCGAGCCUUGGGAGCUGUGAAGGAAGCUGUGUGAUUCGUCCUAAUGGGAUCAAAAAGGACUGCAGGCCUCUGGCUGAGCAGUAGUACAUCUCCAAAUUCCAGGAUUCCAUAGGAUGUCACAAUGGAAGUGAAAUCAUAGUGUUUCAACUGUGGAGUAGAAAAGGCCUCCAAGAUUACAUGGAAAACAGCUGUGAAACUAAUACAAAGGUGAAU
rnacentral:lncRNA from 11 species